rnacentral:rRNA from 1 species
UACGUAGGGGGCAAGCGUUGUCCGGAAUCAUUGGGCGUAAAGAGCGUGUAGGCGGCCCGAUAAGUCCGUCGUGAAAGUCCAGGGCUCAACCCUGGAAUGCCGGUGGAUACUGUCGGGCUAGAGUCCGGAAGAGGCGAGUGGAAUUCCUGGUGUAGCGGUGAAAUGCGCAGAUAUCAGGAGGAACACCAAUGGCGAAGGCAGCUCGCUGGGACGGUACUGACGCUGAGACGCGAAAGCGUGGGGAGCAAACAGG